ACUGAGAACUGCAUCAAGAUGAUGUUGAUAGCAACUCUGACUCUCGUGUUGGGUUUUCUAAUGCAAGAUUCCUUGGCCAAUAAAUUUCUUACUCAGGCUGAUAAAUCCAAACUUGUCAGUCUUGGUGGGACCGUGACCAUCAGCGCCACAGGAAGUUCAGAUAUUGGUGCUGAUCUCAGUUGGUAUCUUCAGAAACCGGGACAGCACCCCAAACUUCUUAUAUAUCAAGCAUCAACUCGCUCCUCAGGAACUCCGUCUCGAUUCAGUGGCAGUAGAUCUGGUUCUCAGUACACUUUAACCAUCAGUGGGUUUCAGGCUGAAGAUGCUGGAGAUUAUUACUGUAUGGGUGUGCAUACUGGUGGAGUAUGCGCACAGUGA